rnacentral:rRNA from 1 species
AACGAACGCUGGCGGCAGGCUUAACACAUGCAAGUCGAGCGCCCCGCAAGGGGGGCGGCAGACGGGUGAUUAACGCGUGGGAACUUACCUUUUGGUUCGGAACAACUCCGGGAAACUGGAGCUAAUACCGGAUAAGCCCUAACGGGGAAAGAUUUAUCGCCGAAAGCUCGGCCCGCGUCUGAUUAGCUAGUUUGUGAGGUAACGGCUCACCAAGGCGACGAUCAGUAGCUGGUCUGAGAGGAUGAUCAGCCACACUGGGACUGAGACACGGCCCAGACUCCUACGGGAGGCAGCAGUGGGGAAUAUUGGAAAAUGGGCGCAAGCAUGAUCCAGCCAUGACGCGUGAGUGAUGAAGGCAUUAGGGUUGUAAAGCUCUUUUGUCCGGGAAGAUAAUGACUGUACCGGAAGAAUAAGCCCCGGCUAACUUCGUG